rnacentral:rRNA from 1 species
UACGUAGGGCGCAAGCGUUGUCCGGAAUUAUUGGGCGUAAAGAGCUCGUAGGUGGUGUGUCGCGUCUGCCGUGAAAGCCCAUGGCUUAACUGUGGGUCUGCGGUGGAUACGGGCAGGCUGGAGGCUGGUAGGGGCAAGCGGAAUUCCUGGUGUAGCGGUGAAAUGCGCAGAUAUCAGGAGGAACACCGGUGGCGAAGGCGGCUUGCUGGGCCAGUUCUGACGCUGAGGAGCGAAAGCGUGGGGAGCGAACAGG